AGCUGUGACGUUUCUCUCCAAAACAUCAUGGAAAAAUUCGAUAGUUAUUUCGAAAGCCUUUCACAUUUCGGAAUCAUCUUUGCAGUAAAUAAAAAAGAAGACAACUUGAUACAAACACAAGUCUAUACAUUCGUAAUACCAUACCUGUUCUAUACAUUUAUAUUAUUACCACUUCCUUGCAUUGAAAACACUCAAAUUUCAAGAAAAACGCGCUAAAAUUGUCAGUUUUGAGAAACAUUGAAAAUUUUGAAGUUCAUAUAUUAAUAAAAAAACAUAUGCCAGCAGAUGACAUAUUCCUCACGGAAGAAUCGCCAGUAGCCGACCGAAGAAAAUAGUAGAAAAUUACCUUGUGUAUUAUGUGUACUAUAAGAACAGAACAUCGGUAACUAUGUGUGACGUUUCUAAGGGGGGGGGGGGG
rnacentral:lncRNA from 1 species